UCUUUCAUGGAUAGCUCAGUUGGCUAGAGUGUGGUGCUGAUAAUGCUGAGAUUGCAGGUUCGAUCCCCCGGAAGGAG